rnacentral:tRNA from 1 species
GGGCCGCUAGCUCAGUUGGUAGAGCAGCGCCCUUUUAAGGCGCGGGUCGUUGGUUCGAGUCCAACGCGGCUCACCA